rnacentral:rRNA from 1 species
AUUGAACGCUGGCGGAAUGCUUUACACAUGCAAGUCGAACGGUAGAGGGGGCAACCCCCUUGAGAGUGGCGAACGGGUGAGUAAUAUAUCGGAACGUGCCCAGUCGUGGGGAUAACGUAGCGAAAGUUACGCUAAUACCGCAUACGAUCUAAGGAUGAAAGCGGGGGACUCGCAAGAGCCUCGCGCGAUUGGAGCGGCCGAUAUCAGAUUAGGUAGUUGGUGGGGUAAAGGCUCACCAAGCCAACGAUCUGUAGCUGGUCUGAGAGGACGACCAGCCACACUGGAACUGAGACACGGUCCAGACUCCUACGGGAGGCAGCAGUGGGGGAAUUUUGGGACAAUGGACGCAAGUCUGAUCCAGCCAUUCCGCGUGCAGGAUGAAGGCCCUCGGGUUGUAAACUGCUUUUGUACGGAACGAAACGGUGAGCUCUAAUACAGUUGCUAAUGACGGUACCGUAAGAAUAAGCACCGGCUAACUACGUGCCAGCAGCCGCGGUAAUGU